CAGUCGCCACGGUAAUACGGAGGGCGCGAGCGUUACCCGGAUUUACUGGGCGUAAAGGGCGUGUAGGCGGCCUGGGGCGUCCCAUGUGAAAGGCCACGGCUCAACCGUGGAGGAGCGUGGGAUACGCUCAGGCUAGAGGGUGGGAGAGGGUGGUGGAAUUCCCGGAGUAGCGGUGAAAUGCGCAGAUACCGGGAGGAACGCCGGUGGCGAAGGCAGCCACCUGGUCCACUUCUGACGCUGAGGCGCGAAAGCGUGGGGAGCAAACAGGAUUAGAUACCCGGGUAGUCCCUGUCUCUUAUAU
rnacentral:rRNA from 1 species